rnacentral:tRNA from 1 species
UGGCCUAUAGUAUAAUGGUAGUACAACAGGUUUUGGUCCUGUCUGUCUUGGUUCGAAUCCAGGUAGGCCAA